AACGCAGCGAAAUGCGAUAAGUAAUGUGAAUUGCAGAAUUCAGUGAAUCAUCGAAUCUUUGAACGCACAUUGCGCCCGUCAGUAUUUCUGGCGGGCAUGCCUGUUCGAGCGUCAUUACGCCCCUCAAGUCCCCUGUGGACUUGGUGUUGGGGAUCGGCGAGGCUGGUUUUCCAGCACAGCCGUCCCUUAAAUUGAUUGGCGGUCUCGCCGUGGCCCUCCUCUGCGCAGUAGUAAAACACUCGCAACAGGAGCCCGGCGCGGUCCACUGCCGUAAAACCCCCCAACUUUUUAUAGUUGACCUCGAAUCAGGUAGGACUACCCGCUGAACUUAAGCAUAUCAUUAAGCGGAGGA
rnacentral:rRNA from 1 species